UCACUGGACCGUUCGCCGUAGUGGCGUACGGAGACGCGUUCCCACCAGUGCUGCCGCCAUAUUCUCCAACAUUUGGAUUUGUCUUUGCUGCUGCAACAAAUUUAAAUUCUUCUUUUUAUUUGAAAAACUUUUUUACAAGAUGUCAACGCCCUUCGUACGUGUCAAACGUGUGCAAGAAAGAGGUUAAAAGUAAUCUAUACGGAAUGAAACUCAACUUUGGUCCACCAAUCGACAACCGUUUGUUGUCCAACACAGCUGGUCAGUGUUCUAAGGAGUGAACCUGUCCACCCUCUACCGAAGACCGAUAGGGUUAAGCCCUAAAUCUGGAUCAAAUUGCAUCAGCUGUUGUCAAAGGUAAGUUGUUACGCCAUUUUAUUUAACCCGUAUUUAUCAACUGACCACAAUGUUCAUUUUGAAAUCAUUCUCAAUUUAUGUAUAUACGUAAUAUGUUAUUAUUACGUAUUUUCUUCCACAUAUUUGAUAUCGAUUGGAUCAUAAAUUCG